AGUGAAAUUGCUAGAUUAUAUGUUAAGCAUAUGAUUAACUUUUUAAGAAACUGCCAAACUAUGUUCCAAAUUUGCUGCACCAUUUUAUGUUUCCACCAGCAAU
rnacentral:pre_miRNA from 1 species